GGGGAGUGUACUGAGAAUAACUCAGUAUCCCUACAUGGAAAGGUUUUCUUAGAUGGGGAAUUAUAAACCUAUUGAGAAAUAUUGUGUCAAUUACUUUUGUAUGUAGUCAUGUAUAUUAUAUUACGUGUUGUAAGAAUUAAAUUAAGGCAUACAAUGUAUUUCUAGGGUUAUUUAUGUUUUGUUAAUUAAGUGAGCGUUUCAUGGUUGUGGGUGAUGAGGUGGCAGGGACGCUACGUGGCAGGUGCUCACGCAGGCUCGGUCAGUUCCUAGUCGGUGAGGGGUGUGAUUAGUCGACGGACUGCGUUGGCUGGGGGUGUUACGUGAUUGUGUCGGAAGUAUCCUGUCGUUAGCUGGGUUGUGCUUGUGCCCCUGCUUGUGCACAAGUAGACGCGAGUUGAUCGAGUGGUGUGAAGGAUUGUGACGAAUGUACCCUGCCAGUAGACAGAUGUCUUCAUGUCUUCAUUUGGAUGGUGCUUUGGGUACUUAACGUGUGGGAUCCGAGGUGUUGUAACAUAGCAGUAACCAGGACGCUAGGAAGGGAGGCACUGUGUAAGUUAUAAUAAUGUAUUUCUUUAGUAUUUAAUGGUGUAGUAGCAGUCGACAGGAAUGUGCAUUAUAAAAUUGAUUCUCGGUAUUAGUUGUCUCAGACUUACUAUGGUUACAGGUUGGACCCAAUAAAGGUGUUUACUGCCA
rnacentral:lncRNA from 1 species